rnacentral:rRNA from 1 species
CACCAAACAGCUAGCCUUAUCAUUUAAAAACAACAAACCCUUAUUAAUAACCCCAAAUAUACUAACAAUAACUGCAAUCAAACCAUUUUCCCCUCCCAGUAUAGGUGAUAGAAAAGAGA